rnacentral:rRNA from 1 species
UACGUAGGGUGCGAGCGUUGUCCGGAAUUAUUGGGCGUAAAGAGCUCGUAGGCGGUCUGUUGCGUCGGCUGUGAAAACCCGGGGCUCAACCCCGGGCCUGCAGCCGAUACGAGCAGACUAGAGUUCGGCAGGGGAGACUGGAAUUCCUGGUGUAGCGGUGAAAUGCGCAGAUAUCAGGAGGAACACCGGUGGCGAAGGCGGGUCUCUGGGCCGAAACUGACGCUGAGGAGCGAAAGCGUGGGGAGCGAACAGG